AGCAGUGUAGCAUAGUGGUAAGGAGCAUGGCUUGUAACCAACAGGUUGCUGGUUCGAUUCCUUGCUGGGUCACUGUUG